AGAGCUAAAAUGGCGGAGGUUGUGAGUCCCUGCUUUGACUCUGUUUGCAAACUCUUGUUUCAUUGUUUAAGCGAUUAAAUCUCUCGAGUAGACGCUGUCUCUUUAGAUGCGAGGGAAAAAUAGCACUUUAUGGACUUCCACAGAGGACAUCAUGUUUAAUACGGUUCCGGAAAAAUCCAGUCAGAAGUUGUUCACGGAGUUUUCACAAUAACUGCUUCUCAUGAACCGAAGCUGGAUUUGCGCGACGUCUCCUCUUGAAAGUUGGAUUACUGUGCACUUCUGGAUCACAGGCUAUUCGCAGCUGGACACAUCCUUCUACACUGUAUGCAAACAUGCAACAUCAUUACACACAGUACAAGGAGUCAGACUGGCAUAUGAGGAGCAAAGGAACCCAGGCAGUAGCAUCGUUUCACAAUGUUUCCAUCACCAUCAUCAGUGGAUGCCUUUGCCGUCCGUAGCCUGAGAUUUCAGAUUUGCAGCAAAAAAAUUUUGAUUUUCUCAUUUAUUGGAAUGCUGUGCAGGUAUUUGUACCUUGCAGCCAUCCAUUACAAUGUCACCAAGCCGUAACAAAAGCAGGAGAGGGAAAGUACAAGGCU